ensembl:lncRNA
CUGUUUCCUGGCCUGUGUUUGGAGGCUGCUGUGGCUCCUGUAGCAGCUUUUUUCUGCCUGCUUUCCAGAGAUAGCUCCACUGUUUGAAGAGUGAGGAAUAUCAUUACAACUGGUUCAGCACUGCUAAUCUUUUUGUGUUUUGAUUCCGCUGAUCCGCAUCUGCUUUUCGCUAGGAGCUGCAGGUCUCCAUAGGAUUAAGGAGAGUGGCUGUCCUGUUUGUGGUGGUAGUGUUUCCUCACCGAAUGCUGUGAUUUGCAGUGUGCAAGCGGAUUUUCUGCUGGUACAUGUGUGAGUGGGGUGUGAAGAUGGAGAACAAUUUGCUUUCUGCCUAGCCUGCCCUUUAGAUGUAAUGGCCUAAGGGAGUGUGAGGUAAAGACGAAUUUGCUUGGCAACCCUGAUCCAUGUAAAGGAACCUACAAGUACUACAACACCACUUAUGACUGCAUCCGUGGCCGUUCACUUUCAGGUUCAACUUCAACUUUUGGACAGGUGACCUCACAUUAUCUUCAAGCACUCUUUGAU